rnacentral:rRNA from 1 species
UCGAGAAUCUUCGGCAAUGGGCGCAAGCCUGACCGAGCGACGCCGCGUGGAGGAUGAAGGCCUUCGGGUUGUAAACUCCUGUCGAGGGGGAGGAAGGGGCAACCUUGACCGAUCCCUGGAGGAAGCACGGGCUAAGUUCGUGCCAGCAGCCGCGGUAAGACGAACCGUGCGAACGUUAUUCGGAAUCAUUGGGCUUAAAGCGCGUGUAGGCGGAUGGGAACGUCGGAGUUGAAAGCCCCCGGCUCAACCGGGGAAUUGGCCCCGAAACGACCCGUCUCGAGGGGCAUAGGGGGAGCUGGAACUUCCGGUGGAGCGGUGAAAUGCGUUGAGAUCGGAAGGAACGCCCGUGGCGAAAGCGAGCUCCUGGAUGUCUUCUGACGCUGAGACGCGAAAGCUAGGGGAGCGAACGG